rnacentral:rRNA from 1 species
UACGUAGGGUGCAAGCGUUAUCCGGAAUUAUUGGGCGUAAAGAGCUCGUAGGCGGCUUGUCGCGUCGACUGUGAAAUCCCGCGGCUCAACUGCGGGCCUGCAGCCGAUACGGGCAGGCUAGAGUUCGGUAGGGGAGACUGGAAUUCCUGGUGUAGCAGUGAAAUGCGUAGAUAUCAGGAGGAACACCGAUGGCGAAGGCAGGUCUCUGGGCUGACACUGACGCUCAUGCACGAAAGCGUGGGGAGCAAACAGG